CUUAACGCCGAAACCCAAGGUUUCCUACGCGAUGCUCGUCAUCGUAGGGUUAGUCGGGUCCUAAGUCGAGACUGAAAAGUGUAGACGAUGGCAAAUUGGUUAAUAUUCCAAUACCAACAUAUAAGCGCGAUGUGGGGACGCAUAGAGUUAGUCGAGCUCACUGAUGGAAUAGUGGGUCGAAGGACGUAGGUUGUUA
rnacentral:rRNA from 1 species